rnacentral:lncRNA from 1 species
CCCAACUCUCAAGUAUUUCUGUUUACAAUCCUGUAGAGGGACAUUUCACAGAAUGAGGGAGGCGUUGGCGUACUGUUUCAUCAUAUGAUGUUUGAAGAGUUCCAUCUUAAUUGGGCACACUGCCCUCUGUAUUCCAACACUGCAUCUUCUCCACCAUAAGCCUACCUAAUACAUAGGUUUUGGGUCUCAGCAAUCUGGCAUACAGGGCAGGAUAUGUACUUAAACUUAAGCAUCUGUCUGAGAUUCUGAAACACAGGCAAGAAAGCAGGAGACAGGGAACCGUGUUUUGUGCUUUUGAUCCCUUGUGCCACAAACAGAACUGGUUAAUAGGCCUGCAGAUUGUUGAAUCAAACACUACCAUGUUAUGGAGGUAAGUAUGGGAAGAAAUAACUACUUUAUACACUGCCUCCAUAUUCCAUAUACUGUUAUACGAAUAAGACCAAUUCUGCCACCUCUUAGUUUUCAUGAAUAAGAGAAGAAUGUGAUCCUCCUACCUUAUUAUUUAUUAUGACUUAUAGCUUUAUGUUUCAAUGUACAAAUUAGUAAAACAAGGAUGAAUUAAACCUAAUUAAAGUCUCAACUUCUGAAGCUGUAAACUAGUGCUAUAGGUUAAUAGCUAGUCUCUCAGAAAAGCUAAGCUUCUAAGAUGCCCACAUCCUCAUAAAUUAACCAGACAACAUUGGGAUGACAAGUCAAGACAAAAUAUUUCCCAGCCUUAUUAUGGCUGCAUGAAUAAUGUUACUGCUGUCAUGGAAAGAUUGGGGAAAAGUUCUAACAGAAAGGAUAUAGAGUCUAUUCUAAGACACCCAGCAAAGCAAAGCAACCACUUGCAGUUCCAGCAAGGCAAGAACACUCACACCUUGUCUGACAGAGGACAGACAGAAAACAGACCUGAAGCCUUGUGUCACCUCUCAAGAUCCCUGAGGCCUGCUAACAUUUACCUUAUCAGUGAGCAGGGGAGUCUAAAUGGAUGUAAUUUGAAUAUCAAGGCCUUGAAGAAGGAAGAAGCAGUCUAGAAACAUCUCUGCCAUCUGUGGUCUCAUGGAUCAUCUGCUGUCUUCUCAGUGCUGCUGCAGCUCUGAUCAGAUCAGCACAAUUCGCACCAACUCACUCUUGCAGGUUCCCAAAUUACAAGCCCAGCACUGCCUGGUGCCUUGAGAAAAACUCAGCAAGAAACUGAGUUUGAAGCCAGCUCAUGCUACAGCAAUCUUGCUCACCAGGCAGCAACAUUACAAGUGCAUUAGCAUUUAGCAGAAUUGUACAAAGCCAUGGUCCUGCCUCGAGGAGCUCAUGGCAUCACCAUACAGACAGAGGGACGAGAACAGGAAGCC